GGAAGGGUGCCAGAGUGGUUGAAUGGGCAGUCCUGGAAAGACUGUGCAUCUGAAAAGGUGCCACGGGUUCGAAUCCCGUCCCUUCCGCCA
rnacentral:tRNA from 4 species